rnacentral:rRNA from 1 species
GACGUAGGGCGCGAGCGUUGUCCGGAUUUAUUGGGCGUAAAGAGCUCGUAGGCGGCUUGUCGCGUCGUCCGUGAAAACUUGGGGCUCAACCCCAAGCUUGCGGUCGAUACGGGCAGGCUCGAGUUCGGUAGGGGAGACUGGAAUUCCUGGUGUAGCGGUGAAAUGCGCAGAUAUCAGGAAGAACACCAAUGGCGAAAGCAGCUUUCUGGGACGGUACUGACGCUGAGACGCGAAAGCGUGGGGAGCGAACAGG